rnacentral:rRNA from 1 species
AGUGAACGCUGGCGGUAGGCCUAACACAUGCAAGUCGAACGGCAGCACAGUAAGAGCUUGCUCUUACGGGUGGCGAGUGGCGGACGGGUGAGGAAUACAUCGGAAUCUACUUUUUCGUGGGGGAUAACGUAGGGAAACUUACGCUAAUACCGCAUACGACCUACGGGUGAAAGCAGGGGAUCUUCGGACCUUGCGCGAUUGAAUGAGCCGAUGUCGGAUUAGCUAGUUGGCGGGGUAAAGGCCCACCAAGGCGACGAUCCGUAGCUGGUCUGAUAGGAUGAUCAGCCACACUAGAACUGAGAGACGGUCCGGAUUCCUACGGUAGGCAGCAGAGAGGAAUAUUGGGCAAUGGGCGCAAGCCUGAUCCAGCCAUACCGCGUGGGUGAAGGAGGCCUUCGGGUUGUAAAGCCCUUUUGUUGGGAAAGAAAAGCAGCAGGUUAAUACCCCGCUGUUCUGACGGUACCCAAAGAAUAAGCACCGGCUAACUUCGUG